rnacentral:rRNA from 1 species
UAGGGAAUCUUCCACAAUGGACGCAAGUCUGAUGGAGCAACGCCGCGUGAGUGAAGAAGGUCUUCGGAUCGUAAAGCUCUGUUGUUGGUGAAGAAGGAUAGAGGCAGUAACUGGUCUUUAUUUGACGGUAAUCAACCAGAAAGUCACGGCUAACUACGUGCCAGCAGCCGCGGUAAUACGUAGGUGGCAAGCGUUGUCCGGAUUUAUUGGGCGUAAAGCGAGCGCGGGCGGAAUGAUAAGUCUGAUGUGAAAGCCCACGGCUCAACCGUGGAACUGCAUCGGAAACUGUCAUUCUUGAGUGCAGAAGAGGAGAGUGGAACUCCAUGUGUAGCGGUGGAAUGCGUAGAUAUAUGGAAGAACACCAGUGGCGAAGGCGGCUCUCUGGUCUGCAACUGACGCUGAGGCUCGAAAGCAUGGGUAGCGAACAGGAUUAGAUACCCUGGUAGUCCAUGCCGUAAACGAUGAGCGCUAGGUGUUGGGGACUUUCCGGUUCUCAGUGCCGCAGCAAACGCAUUAAGCGCUCCGCCUGGGGAGUACGACCGCAAGGUUGAAAC